AACGAGAAGAACCUUACCUACUCUUGACAUCCAGAGAACUUAGCAGAGAUGCUUUGGUGCCUUCGGGAACUCUGAGACAGGUGCUGCAUGGCUGUCGUCAGCUCGUGUUGUGAAAUGUUGGGUUAAGUCCCGCAACGAGCGCAACCCUUAUCCUUUGUUGCCAGCGGUCMGGCCGGGAACUCAAAGGAGACUGCCAGUGAUAAACUGGAGGAAGGUGGGGAUGACGUCAAGUCAUCAUGGCCCUUACGAGUAGGGCUACACACGUGCUACAAUGGCGCAUACAAAGAGAAGCGACCUCGCGAGAGCAAGCGGACCUCAUAAAGUGCGUCGUAGUCCGGAUUGGAGUCUGCAACUCGACUCCAUGAAGUCGGAAUCGCUAGUAA
rnacentral:rRNA from 1 species